GAACGGGCCAACGAGUUACGUUAAGUAGCAAGGUUAAGCACUUAAGGUGCGGAGCCGUAGCGAAAGCGAGUUUUAACUGAGCGUUCAGUUACUUGACGUAGACCCGAAACCGGGCGACCUACCCAUGAGCAGGCUGAAGCGAAAGUAAAAUUUCGUGGAGGUCCGAACCCACGAGCGUUGAAAAGCUCGGGGAUGACUUGUGGGUAGCGGUGAAAUUCCAAUCGAGCCCGGAGAUAGCUGGUUCUCCCCGAAAUAGCUUUAGGGCUAGCCUCAAGGUGAGAGAUACGGAGGUAGAGCACUGAAUGUCCUAGGGGGUAUUGCACCUA
rnacentral:rRNA from 1 species